UAUGAACAAAGAAUGAAGCUAAACAAAUUUCAUAGGUUGUACAUCUGAGGAAAGAAUUCUCAUUUACAAGUUAUUACAUGGCGCAAACUCGAGCCAUCUUAAUUUCUGGAAGACUUCUUACAUUGAGAAGUUGUUAGCCCAUUCUGAUUCAUUUAGUGAAAAAGGCAAGUACCUCCAUGGUUAUUGGGGUUGUGGGUGCAACCAGAAGAUCCAGAAGGUGUGACCGCCCCCAGAAAGGCUCCAACAAGACCCUACCAUUUUCCAUCUAUGUCUCUCCUUCCAUUGGCCUCACCGCCAUGAGAGGAUGCAAGCUUGAAAUCACCAACAGAAGAAGCAACAAUUCCCUUGAGCACAAGAAGCCUUUUUUUUCUACCCCCCCCCCCC
rnacentral:lncRNA from 1 species